ACGCCAUUAGCUCAGUUGGUUAGAGUCUAGGUGCACAGGUUUAAGUCCUGUAUGGCGUGCCA
rnacentral:tRNA from 1 species